rnacentral:rRNA from 1 species
UACGAAGGGGGCUAGCGUUGUUCGGAAUUACUGGGCGUAAAGCGCGCGCAGGCGGCUAUCCAAGUCAGUGGUGAAAGCCCGGAGCUCAACUCCGGAACUGCCAUUGAAACUGUUUAGCUUGAGGAUGAGAGAGGUGAGUGGAAUUCCCAGUGUAGAGGUGAAAUUCGUAGAUAUUGGGAAGAACACCGGUGGCGAAGGCGGCUCACUGGCUCAUUACUGACGCUCAGGCGCAAUAGCGUGGGGAUCAAACAGG